UACGACUCCCGAUGGAACUUGAGAAUUGAAAGAUGGAAACGAGCUCAACGGCGUCGUUCCAUGUUCUUCCCUCGCCGUCGAAUCCACCAUUCGCGUCGGAACGGCCGGCGCUCUAUGGGGCUUGUGCCUCAGUGGCGUCGACCAUGCUGUUUUCGUGGUACCAUAUUCUUGCUAUUUUGCUUUGAUUUCCGACUAUUUGGAUGAGAUGGUAGCAUUAUGGCGUUUGUCCGAUUUGAUAGUGUCUUUGUGGUCUAAUUUUCAGGCGAAAUCUGUUGGAAUAUACGGCUUUCAAUGUGGUAAUGGUUGAUUGUCUUAGCGUUUUGGCCUUUAUAGAUUGUUAGGCUGUGUUUGUGGCUGAUUUUUUUGCUUGGUUUUGUUCUGGUCGAAGAAGUAGCUAAAGAUAUAGAUUGUUCUGCAACUUUUACUCUGACUCACUGUGGCAUUCAAAGAUAUAGAAGGAAGAAUGAUUGGCUAAAUGGAUCGAUUUGCGGGUGCGGUCGGAGGAGCUGCAAUUGCUACUAGGACUAGAAGAAGUUGGUCGCAGGUUGUUGUGAUGCCUGCCCUUGUGUCUGCCUUCAGUGCUGCAGCUGAAUAUUCAAGAUCACUUUAGAAUACCUCUUGUGGGAAGAACAAAACCAUGAGGUAUUCACCAUUCAAUCCAUUUCCAUUGCUUGUGAAUGAUAUGCCGCAUGCCCAAAAUUCAGCAAAUGUUGGUCCUAUAUCGGUUGAAGGAGGGACCGGAACCUCAUCAUGUCGAUUCCACUCAAUUCUUCACAAUUGCAGCUAGCUUCUGGUGAGUUAAAAGCUGUAAAUGAUGGAAAAGCCGUGUAACAGCUUUCUCGUGCUUACAAUAUCUUGCAUGAUUGAGGAUAUUUUACCUUCCAUUACCGUUUACUAUAUGCAUCAUAUUUAAUUUUUAUUAUAGACAAAUAUCUUGUAUAGCCUUCCAUUAUGAUUUACACAAGAGGGAUCACGACUUUCUUAUU